GACGAACGCUGGCGGCGUGCUUAACACAUGCAAGUCGAACGAAGUGGAGAACGGGUGAGUAAUAUGUGGGUAACUUGCCUUCCUUUUUGGGAUAAGUCUUGGAAACGGGGUCUAAUACUGAAUAAAGGGGGAUGGGCUCGCGGCCUAUUCGCUAGUUGGUGGGGUGAUGGCCUACCAAGGCGGUGACGGGUAGCAGGGCUGAGAGGCUGACCGUCCACAUUGGGACUGAGAUACGGCCCAGACUCCUACGGGAGGCAGCAGUAGGGAAUAUUGCACAAUGGGCGCAAGCCUGAUGGAGCAAUGCCGCGUGUAUGAAGAAGGCCUUCGGAUUGUAAAGUACUUUCAUUGGGGAAACGUUACCCGCACAAGAAGCCCCGGCUAACUCCGUGCCAGCCGCCGCGGUAUUAC
rnacentral:rRNA from 1 species